GAUGAACGCUGGCGGCGUGCCUAAUACAUGCAAGUCGAGCGAACGGACGCGAAGCUUGCUUUUCUGAUGUUAGCGGCGGACGGGUGAGUAACACGUGUAUAACCUACCUAUAAGACUGGUAUAACUUCGGGAAACCGGCGCUAAUACCGUAUAAUAUUUUGAACCGCAUUGUUCAAAAGUGAAAGUCGGUCUUUCUGUCACUUCUAGAUGGAUCCGCGCUGCAUUAGCUAGUUGGUAAGGUAACGGCUUACCAAGGCAACGAUGCAUAACCGAACUGAGAGGGUGAUCGGCCACCCUGGAACGGAGACACGGUCCAGAGUCCUACGGGAGGCAGCAGUAGGGAAUCUUCCGCAAUGGGCGAAAGCAUGACGGAGCAAGGCCGCGUGAGUGAUGAAGGUCUUCGGAUCGUAAAACUCGGUUAUUAGGGAAGAACAGAUGUGGAAGUAGCUGAGGACAUAGUGACGGUACCUAAUCAGAAAGCAACGGCUAACUACGUG
rnacentral:rRNA from 1 species